ncrna:unclassified sequences AdoCbl variant RNA
AUACUGAAUCAUGGUGGGGAACAAUGUGAAAUUCAUUGACUGUUCCUGCAACGGUAAAAGUAAAAUUGAGUCCGAGUGCCACCCAGUAA